GAGUGUGUUAGAGGGAGGCGAGGAAGGGGCUGGGAGAGAUUUCCCAGUGAAGGGGGGCAUUUGAGGUAGACUUUGAAGGAAGGGUAGGAGUUUGCCAGAAGCCAUGGGGCCUGGGGAGUAGGAACAGCAUGGAGGGAUGAAAAGAAGGCGAUCUGAGAAAAUGGGUUUUGAGGAGCUCUGAAUAUUAGUGUUAGAAUUCCCUCAGGUACCCCAGGGCCCCAGCCAGAGAUCAGCAUAUACAGUACAGGAGGCUGGCCAGGUACCCCGACAGGCUAAGGGGUUGCCAGCAGCCCCUUCGCAGCUCCGUGCGCAAGGUCGUGUCCCGGAAGUGAAGGGGCCAUGUUGAUGGGUGACCCGGGGAGA
rnacentral:lncRNA from 1 species